GGGGGGAGAAAGAAAGGAAAGGAAGAAAGAAAGAAGGAAAUUUAAAGGAGAGAAUGCCAAGGUUUCAGUGUCUGGCACACAUUUUUUUUUUUCAUUUUUAUUUUAAAAUACAAAAUAAAAUCAAACUGUUUACUAGGUAUUCCCAUUGUAGCUUUGCCUGCUUUUCCACCCUGUUUUCCUUUCCUGCCUCUAGCCCUUGAUCCUUCCCCUUACCCAGGCAUUCAUGUAUAUUGUUCUCUGACUCAGCAGUUUCUUUUUGUCUAGAAGUAGAUGUUCUUGGGUGAUUCUGUCUUCUCCAUCCUUCCUGAAAAGGCUACAUUUGAUCUUAAAUUAUUGAAAUUUAUGGCUAAAACAUCUAAGUUCAUUUGAUGUUAUAGAUCCUCCUUCUCAGCAAGAGCUUAAAAAUAAAACUUUAAAUAGGGACUGGAAAUACGAUUAUGUAUGAUUUGCUUAAAUUAAAAGAGUCUCCUCUAGGAAUCCUGAGGAGUCUCCUUCCACUUUUAUGAGACAGAAUCUUGCUCAAAAAUGAACCUCAAUUUAUUACUUCUAGCUUUGGUUUUUCUGUUGCUAAGUUGAGUACUAGAGGGUUAAUAAUAACAAUACCUCAAAACCUAAAACUAAUAUAGAAGUUUCUGCUGAAGAAAUUCAGAGUUGAGAAUAAGUUGUAAAAGGAUAUUCAGCAAAUAUUCAAUCUCUUAGGGAAUUAAAGGAAAUAUUAUUCCCAAGAACAGCUUAACUUUAGGUUGAAAAUCUUAAACUUAUUUUAGUAGCUUCACUUUAUCUUAAAACACUUUUUUCCCACCUCUAUUUGUAGCAUCAAUGUAGCUCAGCAAUUUUUUGGGGGUGGGGGGGGUGGAUUUAAACCUGAAGUAAAUCUAUGCUUUUUCUCUUUUUGGUUUACAGAUAUGGUAUGAACUUAGACUGUGAUUUUUUUUGAAAGUCAGAUGUUCUGACUCAUUUUUCAAGUAAUGGUUCCUCUUUAAUGUUGUAUUUCUAUCUUUAUCUUCAACUAGUAUUUACCGAGUGCCUCUUCUGCAUCAGACACAUCUGUAGCUGUCAGCGUAGAGAAACGCUUCAGAUACAUACAUUGUCCUCCUUUUAAGAGGAUGCAGUCUAAUAAAUGAAGACCCAGUCAACUUUGGGUCCUUACAUAUUCAGAAUUUGGUUUGUGAGGGAAAGUUGUUUCUUGGCAUUAUAAGACAAAAGCCAACUUAGGAAAUGCUAAACUCAGCAUGCACUUAAAAUUAUUUUACAUGUUCUUUUUCAGUAAAUAAACCUACCUAGCCACAAUUCUAGGUUCUGAAGAUACAGUGGAGAUUCAGUCAUGGUCCCAGAGUCUACUGGAAAAAUGAAUACCUGAACAGACUGUUGUAAUACCACUUGAUCAAGGGAAGUCCUAGCAGCUUAGAAUAGGCUGGAUCAGCUUUCACAGGGUAGAUGUCAUUUGAACUGAGAGAAUGAAAGUGUAUAGUGAGUUCAAUAAGGGCAAGAUUGCCCAUGUGAACAUUUCAUUAGCUUCUACUGAAUGAUAGAAAGUGAAAGUCGAGAGUAAGGAUUUUUAUAAGAGUAUGUUUGUUUCUCUCCAUAGAUAAAUAUUUCAAACAACACUCGACUCACAGAAAUAGACUGGAACAUUCUGUCUCCAGUGAAGGAGAAACUGACUUCUAAACCGCUUUUAAUGUCAAAUAGCAUUUUGUAUCUGUCUGCGAGUAUGUAUGAAUUGUCAGCUCUCAUUCAUGUUUUCCUGCUCCUUGGGGUCUCUCUGUUUAGACACUGUGAUCCUACCACCGGUAGGCUCUUCCCGAGAGGUGUGAAAAUGGUGUGCCAACUGGAGAAUGUAUGAGUCCCUUUGCUGUCACCUUCCUGCUCAUUUUAUUUAAAUAAAUAAAGCUUCCUUAAGGAAGAAAGCUUUGAUCACUCCAGGUCCCCUAAGAGACUUAAAAAUGGCACUGACGUUGCUUUUGUGUGGAGAGAAUACAUAGAACCAGCCCAGUCACAGAGAGCAUGCCUGGUGAGCUAUGCAGGGAUCCUGCUGUCCCUGACAUCUCUCUUUAUAAAUUACCUGGAGAAGGAAAUGACAAAGAAAAGAGACACGAAAGGCUAAGGAGUCAGAAGGUAAAGAGCAGAAACAAAGAGGCUUAGAAGAUACUUUGUAAAAUUACAUCUGGGAGAAGAGUCACACUGAUUUAGUACAAAUGAACUGACAAGACAGAACUGAUUCAUAGCAAGCCUUUUAUAGCCCAAGUUCACUUUUUUCCUCACUUGAAUUAUUGGUAUGGUUUUGCACAAUGUUCAAGAAGGACAGGUAUCCUGUAUUUAUCAGCAAUGUAUUUAUCAAGCAAAACCUCAGCAUUUCAAAAUCAUUAAUCAUUUAAUACAGAGAAUCUGCUUAUAUAGCAGACAGUGUCAAUGAAUAAGAUUAAGUCCUGCACCUCAAUAGGCUGAUAGCUGAAUAGAAAGUAAUGGGGACAUUUACUCAUCUGUUCGCUUAACCAAUACUUAUUAUAGCUAGAGACUCUUUUUACGAAGGGAGAAUAUAUCAGGGAAUUAUAAAAACAAUAGGUUUUCUGCCUGUAAGGGGUUACAUUCUAAGGAGACACAAAGGGAAAUGAUAAACAUAUAUGCAAGCAAAUACCUACAGUAUGGUUGCAGAUAGUCACAAAUGUUUGCAGAAAGGAACAAUAGAAUGCUUGGGUAGAUACAGGGGAGGCCACUUGAGACCAAGUGGUCAGGAGUGCCCCUUUGAGAAGAUAAUUGAGCUUUGACUUGAAAGAUUGGGAAGAAUCACUCAUACUUUUUCUAGGGAAAGGGUGUCUAAGGCAGUCAGAGAUGCUAGUAUCAGAAGAGUAAACUAGCUUGGCCUGUUUGCAGAACAGAAAGAAGCUACAGAAGUUAGAAUUUAGAAAACUAAGAGAGUUUCAUGAGAAUUCCAGAGACGUAGCCAGAGAUUUAUUCAUGUGGACACUGGAAAUUUGUUGAGGAAUUUAUUUUUUUUCAAGUUCUGUGGAGGUGUAAUUGACAUAAAACACAUUGUGUAAAUUUUAAGUUGUAUGAUGUGAUGAUUUGAUACCACGGUAUGAUUAAUUAACACACCUUCACCUCACAUAAUUAUCUUUUUGUUGUUGUUGUUAUGGUGAGAACAUUAGAACUCUGCUCCCAUAGCAGCUUUCAAGUAUACAAUACUGUAUUGUUAACCAUAGUCACCAUACUGUACUUUAGAUCCCUGGAACAUAUUCAUCUUAUAACUGAAAAUGUUUACCCUUUGACUAACAUCUUGCCAUUCCCCUCCCCCGCUCACCCCCAGGCAGCCGUAUUCUACUCUGGGUUGAUAUUUUUAUAUUCCACACAGAAUUCAAUGAAAUUGAAAACAGGAAAAUAGUAGAGAAAAUGAACAAAACAACAUUCUGUCUCUUCAGAAAAAGGAAUAAAUGCAAGAAAUUGUAACACCACUGACAAAGAAAAAGAACAAAGAUGCAAGUCACCAAUAUCAGGAGGAAAACAGGUGGUAUCACAGCAGAUCCUGAAAUUAUUGAAAAGAUAAUAAGCGAAUAUUACAAGCUAUUUUAUGUUCCUAAAUUUUACUACUUAGAAGAAAUGGGCCAAUUCUUUAAAGACCACAAACUACCAAAAAUCAGCCAAACAAAAUAGAUAACCGAAAGUAUUCUAUAACUAUUAAGUUGAAUUUUUUUAUUUAAAAAAAAUCUCUCAAAAAAGAAAUAUCCAGGCUGAGCUGGUUUCAUUCAAGAAUUUUACCAAACAUUUAGAGAAGAAUUAACACUAAUUCUACACAAUUACUUCCAGAAAAUUGAAGAGGAUCGAGUACUUCCUAAGUGAAUUUAUGAAGCCAAAAUGUUUCUUACAU
rnacentral:lncRNA from 1 species